rnacentral:rRNA from 1 species
AGAGUUUGAUCAUGGCUCAGGAUGAACGCUGGCGGCGUGCUUAACACAUGCAAGUCGAACGAUGAAGCCCAGCUUGCUGGGUGGAUUAGUGGCGAACGGGUGAGUAACACGUGAGCAACCUGCCCCUGACUCUGGGAUAAGCGCUGGAAACGGCGUCUAAUACUGGAUAUGUCCCAUCACCGCAUGGUGUGUGGGUGGAAAGAUUUUUCGGUUGGGGAUGGGCUCGCGGCCUAUCAGCUUGUUGGUGAGGUAAUGGCUCACCAAGGCGUCGACGGGUAGCCGGCCUGAGAGGGUGACCGGCCACACUGGGACUGAGACACGGCCCAGACUCCUACGGGAGGCAGCAGUGGGGAAUAUUGCACAAUGGGCGGAAGCCUGAUGCAGCAACGCCGCGUGAGGGAUGACGGCCUUCGGGUUGUAAACCUCUUUUAGCAGGGAAGAAGCGAAAGUGACGGUACCUGCAGAAAAAGCACCGGCUAACUACGUGCCAGCAGCCGCGGUAAUACGUAGGGUGCAAGCGUUAUCCGGAAUUAUUGGGCGUAAAGAGCUCGUAGGCGGUUUGUCGCGUCUGCUGUGAAAUCCCGAGGCUCAACUUCGGGCUUGCAGUGGGUACGGGCAGACUAGAGUGCGGUAGGGGAGAUUGGAAUUCCUGGUGUAGCGGUGGAAUGCGCAGAUAUCAGGAGGAACACCGAUGGCGAAGGCAGAUCUCUGGGCCGUAACUGACGCUGAGGAGCGAAAGGGUGGGGAGCAAACAGGCUUAGAUACCCUGGUAGUCCACCCCGUAAACGUUGGGAACUAGUUGUGGGGUCCUUUCCACGGAUUCCGUGACGCAGCUAACGCAUUAAGUUCCCCGCCUGGGGGAGUACGGCCGCAAGGCUAAAACUCAAAGGAAUUGACGGGGACCCGCACAAGCGGCGGAGCAUGCGGAUUAAUUCG